rnacentral:rRNA from 1 species
UGGUCCUAGCCUUGUAAUCAGUCUUUACUCAACUUACACAUGCAAGUCUCCGCACCCCUGUGAAAACGCCCUCUAACCCCUCAAGGGACGAGGAGCCGGUAUCAGGCUCAACCAUUAGCCCAAGACACCUAGCUUUGCCACACCCACAAGGGAAUUCAGCAGUGAUUAACAUUGAUAAUAAGCGCAAGCUUGACUCAGUCAGAGUAAUUAGAGCCGGCAAAUCUGGUGCCAGCCGCCGCGGCUAUACCACGAGGCCCAAACUGAUCCCCUUCGGCGUAAAGCGUGAUUAAAGUGACCCCAGACUGUAGAUAAACUAGCAUUUAGCUGUGAUACGCUGGUCUCUAGGAAAAACAAAAACGAAAGUUGCUACAGCAGAACCCGCUUGACCUCACGACAGCUAAGACACAAACUGGGAUUAGAUACCCCACUAUGCUUAGCCGUAAACCUUAACUUACACCCAAAUCGCCAGGGAACUACGAGCAACGCUUAAAACCCAAAGGACUUGACGGUGCCCCACAUCCACCUAGAGGAGCCUGUCCUAUAAUCGAUAACCCCCGUUCUACCUCACCACUUUUUGCCUAUCAGCCUGUAUACCUCCGUCGUCAGCUUACCACGUGAGCGCCCUCCAGUAAGCGUAAAAGCCCCCCGCUAAAACGU